ACUAAGUGGGAAACGAUGUGGGAAGGCUCAGACAGCCAGGAUGUUGGCUUAGAAGCAGCCAUCAUUUAAAGAAAGCGUAAUAGCUCACUGGUCGAGUCGGCCUGCGCGGAAGAUGUAACGGGGCUAAGUAGUAAACCGAAGCUGCGGCAAUAUACUUUUGUAUAUUGGGUAGGGGAGCGUUCUGUAAGCGGUUGAAGGUGUGUGGUAACGCAUGCUGGACGUAUCAGAAGUGCGAAUGCUGACAUGAGUAACGAUAAAGGGGGUGAAAAACCUCCUCGCCGGAAGACCAAGGGUUCCUGUCCAACGUUAAUCGGGGCAGGGUAAGUCGACCCCUAAGGCGAGGCCGAAAGGCGUAGUCGAUGGGAAACGGGUUAAUAUUCCCGUACUUCUUACAAUUGCGAUGGGGGGACGGAGAAGGCUAGGUGGGCCUGGCGACGGUUGUCCAGGUUCAAGUGCGUAGGCUUAAGAGUUAGGUAAAUCCGGCUCUUUCUAAGGCUGAGACACGACGUCGAGCACCUACGGG
rnacentral:rRNA from 1 species